CUCAUAUUUUCAUUUCCUCUGUUUGUGCUUCUUCCACUUUUCUCACUCAAAUGGCAUACUCAAAGGUGAUAAUUGCUCUAAUGUUGGCGUUUAUCGCCGGAUCUGCUUUCGCACAGGCACCGGGAACAUCUCCGGCAGCUUCUCCGAAGAUUUCACCGGCACCGGUAGCAUCACCACCGGUGGCGACUCCUCCUCCUACUACAUCAACACCACCUAUCGUUGCCCCUGCAAAUCCUCCUACUACUGCAUCUUCUCCAUCUGACUCUCCAUUAGCUUCUCCACCAGCUCCACCAACUGCCGAGACUCCGGCGUCGUCUCCUUCCGGUGCUGCUUCUCCUCCAUCCAUUGCCGCCGCUCCCGGAAGUUCUCCUACUGAAUCUCCAAACUCUGCUUCCUUGAACAGAGUCGCCGUCGCCGGAUCUGCUGUUGUAGCUGUGUUUGCUGCUGCUUUGAUGCUUUAAAUCUCUGAUCUGUGAGAUAUUUUGCGUUUUUUUAUUCGCCGGAAUUGAUGAGUUCACGUUUUUAUUUAUGGUUUAGAUUUAGAUUCACUAUCGCUAUUGAUUGAUUUAUUUGUACUAUAUAUUUUUAUUAGUAAAUAUUAUUAGGUGAUUCUUUGUUUAUUU
rnacentral:misc_RNA from 1 species